GCAAGUCGAACGGUGAAGCCCAGCUUGCUGGGUGGAUCAGUGGCGAACGGGUGAGUAACACGUGAGCAACCUGCCCCUGACUCUGGGAUAAGCGCUGGAAACGGCGUCUAAUACUGGAUAUGUACCACGAUCGCAUGGUCUGUGGUUGGAAAGAUUUUUCGGUUGGGGAUGGGCUCGCGGCCUAUCAGCUUGUUGGUGAGGUAAUGGCUCACCAAGGCGUCGACGGGUAGCCGGCCUGAGAGGGUGACCGGCCACACUGGGACUGAGACACGGCCCAGACUCCUACGGGAGGCAGCAGUGGGGAAUAUUGCACAAUGGGCGCAAGCCUGAUGCAGCAACGCCGCGUGAGGGAUGACGGCCUUCGGGUUGUAAACCUCUUUUAGCAGGGAAGAAGCGAAAGUGACGGUACCUGCAGAAAAAGCGCCGGCUAACUACGUGCCAGCAGCCGCGGUAAUACGUAGGGCGCAAGCGUUAUCCGGAAUUAUUGGGCGUAAAGAGCUCGUAGGCGGUUUGUCGCGUCUGCUGUGAAAUCCGGAGGCUCAACCUCCGGCCUGCAGUGGGUACGGGCAGACUAGAGUGCGGUAGGGGAGAUUGGAAUUCCUGGUGUAGCGGUGGAAUGCGCAGAUAUCAGGAGGAACACCGAUGGCGAAGGCAGAUCUCUGGGCCGUAACUGACGCUGAGGAGCGAAAGGGUGGGGAGCAAACAGGCUUAGAUACCCUGGUAGUCCACCCCGUAAACGUUGGGAACUAGUUGUGGGGUCCAUUCCACGGAUUCCGUGACGCAGCUAACGCAUUAAGUUCCCCGCCUGGGGAGUACGGCCGCAAGGCUAA
rnacentral:rRNA from 1 species